rnacentral:ncRNA from 1 species
CGGCCCCUGUUCUGGGCUGGUGAAAAAGGGAAUCCGGAGUUUCCGCACAGCAUGCUGUGCGGAAGAAGCCGGAGCUGUCCCCGCAGCUGUGAUCGGCGAGUCCCGUCAUGAUGCCACUGGUUCCUGCCGGAGCCGGGAAGGCGACAGGGGUGAAGACCCGAGAGCCAGAAGACCUGCCAUGUCUG